rnacentral:rRNA from 1 species
UACGUAGGGUGCAAGCGUUAAUCGGAAUUACUGGGCGUAAAGCGUGCGCAGGCGGUUAUAUAAGACAGUUGUGAAAUCCCCGGGCUCAACCUGGGAACUGCAUCUGUGACUGUAUAGCUAGAGUACGGUAGAGGGGGAUGGAAUUCCGCGUGUAGCAGUGAAAUGCGUAGAUAUGCGGAGGAACACCGCUGGCGAAGGCAAUCCCCCUGGACCUGUACUGACGCUCAUGCACGAAAGCGUGGGGAGCAAACAGG